rnacentral:rRNA from 1 species
UCCAGACUCCUACGGGAGGCAGCAGUGGGGAAUAUUGCACAAUGGGGGAAACCCUGAUGCAGCGACGCCGCGUGAGUGAAGAAGUAUUUCGGUAUGUAAAGCUCUAUCAGCAGGGAAGAUAAUGACGGUACCUGACUAAGAAGCCCCGGCUAACUACGUGCCAGCAGCCGCGGUAAUACGUAGGGGGCAAGCGUUAUCCGGAUUUACUGGGUGUAAAGGGUGCGUAGGUGGCAGGGCAAGUCAGAUGUGAAAGCCCGGGGCUCAACCCCGGUACUGCAUUUGAAACUGUCCAGCUGGAGUGCAGGAGAGGUAAGCGGAAUUCCUAGUGUAGCGGUGAAAUGCGUAGAUAUUAGGAGGAACACCAGUGGCGAAGGCGGCUUACUGGACUGUAACUGACACUGAGGCACGAAAGCGUGGGGAGCAAACAGGAUUAGAUACCCCAGUA